rnacentral:rRNA from 1 species
AAGCACGGGGACAGUGGUUUAUUCGAGCAACGCGCAGAACCUUACCAGGCUCUUGACAUUCUGGGUAUGCGGCAUUAGGAGACGAUGUCCUUCAAUUAGGCUGGCCCCAUAACAGGUGCUGCAUGGCUGUCGCCAGCUCGUGGCGAGAGAUGUUGGGUUAACUCCCCCAACGAGCGCAACCCUCUAACUUAAAUGCAAGCAUUUAGAUGGUCACUCUAAAGUGACUGCCACAGAUAAUCUUAAAGGCAAGUUCUGCUGAUAUCCAUCUAGGUGGUUACAGCCGAAUUCUGCAUAUAUCUAUCACACAUUGAUGCACAUACAGCCAACCAGUGUUUGGAUUUCAAACACACACAUUCUAAGACCACUAUCAACACUACCCACACUCCCAUUUUUAAAGACACUGAACAUGAUCUCAUCCUUGACACUCACAAUGCCACUGAAAAUAGACCCAGGUAGGUAAAAAGAAUUUAAUAGAAAAUUUGUCGGAAAUUUUCCCUCUA